rnacentral:rRNA from 1 species
CCUACGGGUGGCAGCAGUGAGGAAUAUUGGUCAAUGGACGAGAGUCUGAACCAGCCAAGUAGCGUGAAGGAUGACUGCCCUAUGGGUUGUAAACUUCUUUUAUAAGGGAAUAAAGUGAGGGACGUGUCCCUUUUUGUAUGUACCUUAUGAAUAAGGAUCGGCUAACUCCGUGCCAGCAGCCGCGGUAAUACGGAGGAUCCAAGCGUUAUCCGGAUUUAUUGGGUUUAAAGGGAGCGUAGGUUGACAUAUAAGUCAGCUGUGAAAGUUUACGGCUCAACCGUGAAAUUGCAGUUGAUACUGUAUGUCUUGAGUGUACAAGAGGUGGGCGGAAUUCGUGGUGUAGCGGUGAAAUGCUUAGAUAUCACGAAGAACUCCAAUUGCGAAGGCAGCUCACUGGGGUACAACUGACACUGAGGCUCGAAAGUGUGGGUAUCAAACAGGAUUAGAUACCCGAGUAGUC